rnacentral:rRNA from 1 species
UACGAAGGGGGCUAGCGUUGCUCGGAAUCACUGGGCGUAAAGCGCACGUAGGCGGAUUGCUAAGUCAGGGGUGAAAUCCUGGAGCUCAACUCCAGAACUGCCUUUGAUACUGGCGAUCUCGAGUCCGGGAGAGGUGAGUGGAACUGCGAGUGUAGAGGUGAAAUUCGUAGAUAUUCGCAAGAACACCAGUGGCGAAGGGCGGCUCACUGGCCCGGUACUGACGCGUGAGGCGCG